UUCUUCGGGGCGGGGUGAGAUUCCCCACCGGCGGUGACAGUCCGCGACCUGCCAAGGCAGCUGAUCCGGUGCAAUUCCGGAACCGACAGUAUAGUCUGGAUGAGAGAAGAA
rnacentral:ncRNA from 1 species